rnacentral:lncRNA from 1 species
CUGGGGCCCCCUCUCUACGAGACUGUUCAUGUUCCGUCUGCACAUGCAGAUGUGUCUGAAGAUGAAGUGUCUCCUCAGGACCUGUUUGCAGCAGAGCAGGUGCAGAAUCACACACUAUAUGGAUCCAUAGUGUUUGCUCACGUAUCGUUCAUGUGUGUUCAUGCAUAUUACACGAGUUAUAUGCACAAUAUGUAAUAAUCCAUAAUCCAUCAAGAUACGUGUACAUAUAAAUGCAGACAGGCACACAGACAUCCAUAUCUGUAGGUAUACACACGCAUGUACACAUGCCCACAGGGCAACCGCAAUCUCCACUGCCUACAUUCCAGUUCUGCCCUCUUCUCCUUGUGCUUUUUUUUUUUUUUUUUUUUUUGAGACAGAGUCACGUUCUGUUUCCCAGGCUGGAGUGUGCAGUGGCAUGAGCUCAGCUCACUGCAACCUCCGCCUCCCAGGUUCAAGUGAUUCUCCUGCCUCAGCCUCCUGAGUAGCUGGGAUUACAGACACGCACUACCAUGCAGGGGUAAUUUUUGUGUUCUUAGUAGAGAUGGGCUUUUGCCAUGUUGGCCAGGCUGGUCUUAAACUCCUGACCCCAAGUGAGCCACCGGCCUCAGCCUCCCGAAGUGCUGGGAUUGUAGGUGUGAGCCAUGACGCCUGGCUUCCUUGUGCUUCUUGAUUGCUUUAAUUUCUGAGAGAAAUCUGCAAAGACUUCAGCAAUGGCUGUGACUUUGCCAGUUUCUUCUUGAAUUUCCAUUUUGCCUUAUAAAUUUAAGAAUUUUGCCUUAUAUAUUUAUAUAUAGUUUUUGCCUUAUAUAUUAUAAUAUUAUAAUAUCCAUGUUACAUAAUAGACCAUGAUCAUAGUAUCUUCCUAAUGCAUUUGUACUUUUAUCCAAUUACACUUUCCUCUUUGUUCCUUAAAAGGACAAACUUAGCCUUCCGUUCUGUUGGUCUGUGAUGACCGUUUCCACGUCCUGCUUUCUGAGAGCAUUUGCCUGGUGUAGACGUCCCCGUUUUCAGCGGUUAUGCGUCCCUCUAGUUUCGGUGAUGCCCUGAGGUUUACUUCCUGCAUUUUUAAGCCCACGUUUCCCCAGCACUCAUGUGUGGCCAGCGUCUGAUUCUUCCUCCAGAGCAAGACAGGGAAGCCACUGCACUUCAGCUGCCUUCACAAGUCUCCUCUGCCACCCCCGCUGAGGCCGUCUGGAAGUUUAAUUCUAGGCUAUUAUUAAAUUUCUAUAAAAUUGUUUCAACUUUACUGAGAUAUAAUUCACAAAUAGGAAUUGUGUAUAGUUAAGGUGUAUGACUUGAUGUUCUGAUACACGCUGUGAAUGAUCACUGCAGUCAAGCUAUUUCACAUGCUCACACCUCACAGUGACUACCAAGUUGGUGAAAAGAGUAACUGCGGUGUUUGCAAUUAGAAGCAAUUAUUUUUGCACCAACCUAAAAUAUUUUCUUUUUUUUUUUUUUUUUGUCGCCCAGCCUGGACUGCCGUGGUGAAAUCUUGGCUCACUGCAGCCUCUGCUUCCCAGGUUCAAUCAAUCUUGCCACCUCAGCCUCCCCAGUAGCUGGGACUAUGGGCACGUGCCACCAUGUCCAGCUAGUUUUUUUUGUUUUUUUUUUUUUUUGUAUUUUUAGUAGAGAUGGGGUUUCGCCAUGUUGCCCAGACUGGUCUUGAACUCCUGGCCUCAAGUGAUCCACCCACCGUCGGCCUCCCAAAGUGCUGGGAUUACAGGCAUGAGCCACCGCACCAGCUUCUUUUAUUUUCUUUGUGUGUGUUGAGAACACUUAAGAUCUAUCCUCUCAGCCCAUGUCCAGCAUCCAGUACAGCAUUGUUAACCAUGGCCACCUAGGACAGCGCUCCCCAGAAACUGAAUUUGCCAGCACCUUGAUCGUGGACUUCCAGCCUCCAGAACAGCGAGAAGAAUCGCUUCUAGGUUUUGACCAGCCGGCCUGUGGCAUUUUGCUACAACAGCCUGGGCAGCCUGCAGUGCUCUGUGCUUUGUUCUCUUUCAUUUUGUUUUGUUUUCUGUAAUUCACCUUUGAGAAACUCGUUCAGGAAGGAUGCAUGGGUGACAUUUUCUGCAUCCUCACAUUUUGUCACUGGGUGUGGCCGGGUCUGUGAGUCUAGACACAAAGCCAGUCACCUGGGGACGCUGCCACCUGAAGGCCUGCGUGGCCGGGUCUGUGACUGUAGACACAAAGCCAGUCACCUGGGGACGCUGCCACCUGAAGGCCUGCGUGGCCGGGUCUGUGACUCUAGACAAAAAGCCAGUCACCUGGGAACUCUGGGACACCCUCUUCUCUCACCCAUUGCUGUGGGGAAGCCUGGGGAUGGGUUUUCUUGUUUUGGUUUUUUAUCAUGUUGGUGUUUUGUUUUGUUUUUUUUUUGAGAUGGAGUUUCCCUCUUGUCUCCCAGGCUAGAGUGCAAUGGCGUGAUCUCGGCUCACUGCAACCUCCGCCUCCUGGGUUCAAGCGAUUCUCCUGCCUCAGCCUCCUGAGUAGCUGGGAUUACAGGCAUGCACCACCACGCCUGGCUAAUUUUUGUAUUUUUAGUAGAGACGGGGUUUCACCAUGUUGGUCAGGCUGGUCCCGAACUCCUGACUUCAGGUGAUCCACGCACCUCGGCCUCCCAAAGUGCUGAGAUUACAAGCAUGAGCCAUCGCACCCAGCCCAUAGUGGUUUUUAAAUCUUUCCUUUUGCCCUCAUUGUUCUAAAAUUUUAUGAAGAUGAAGACAUAUCUCGUGUCUCAUUCACGGAGAGCCGAUUCUGUAACAGCCGCUGCUCUGGGCGCCGGGAGAAACCGUGAGGAGCAGGCAGAGCUUCCGUCGCGGGGCCCACAGGGCCCAGGUGUGCAUUAUUUCCCUCCCAUCAAUCCUGUUCUUCUUCUGAAACUCUCAGUGUGCAGAUGUUGGAAUGUCUGGCUUCGUCCUCCAUUUCCUUUUUUUUUUUUUUCAUACUUUCCCUCUAUCUCGCUCUGCUGUGUACAAAAAAACUUGGGCAUUUUCAAGUACAAAGCAAAGGAAGCAAUAAAGCAUCCCCAGAUAUUUGAGGAAAGCUGACAUCACAAAGUGGAGAAUUCCUUGACUGUGUGUUCCAGGCACAAGUUCGUUCUUCAGCCUUUUCUUCCUGUUAUUCACCCCAUCACUUUUUAAUUUUUUUUGGAUGUCACAUUUUUCAUAUUUAUAUUUUCAGUUCCGUUUUUAAGGCUGUAUCUUCUCUAUGGAUAAAUAAACCUGUGAAGACGUACUGCCCUUUUCUCGAGGGUGUUGUUUGCUCUGCUUCCUUGAUACCUGCUGACUUUGGGGGCCCCUUUUUGGUAGUGAUUGGUUUUCCUCAAACAUUUGAUGGUUCUGGGUUGUCUAGUGAUUCCAUGAAAAUUGGUUGGCUGCAUAUUUAACCAAUUUUAGGUUAAAAUUGGUUGGCACCCAAAAUAACAGUGGCUUUAACACACAGUAUUCCCUUCUCACAUAAGAAAGGACUCUGGAGGGCGGGGCCCUAAAGAGCCUGUCACCUCCCACUCCACCACACCCGGCGGGUGCCUCAUCCUCAUGGCCCCAGAAGGC